CACUAGUUGUAACAACGUU
rnacentral:snRNA from 1 species